rnacentral:rRNA from 1 species
UACGGAGGGCGCUAGCGUUGUUCGGAAUUACUGGGCGUAAAGCGCACGUAGGCGGCUUUGUAAGUUAGAGGUGAAAGCCCGGGGCUCAACUCCGGAACUGCCUUUAAGACUGCAUCGCUUGAAUCCGGGAGAGGUGAGUGGAAUCCCGAGUGUAGAGGUGAAAUUCGUAGAUAUUCGGAAGAACACCAGUGGCGAAGGCGGCUCACUGGACCGGUAUUGACGCUGAGGUGCGAAAGCGUGGGGAGCAAACAGG